UACGUAGGGUGCGAGCGUUAAUCGGAAUUACUGGGCGUAAAGCGUGCGCAGGCGGUUUUGUAAGCCAGAUGUGAAAUCCCCGGGCUUAACCUGGGAAUGGCAUUUGGGACUGCAAGGCUCGAGUGCGGCAGAGGAGACUGGAAUUCCUGGUGUAGCAGUGAAAUGCGUAGAUAUCAGGAGGAACACCGAUGGCUAAGGCAGGUCUCUGGGCUGACACUGACGCUCAUGCACGAAAGCGUGGGGAGCAAACAGG
rnacentral:rRNA from 1 species